UACGAAGGGUGCAAGCGUUACUCGGAAUUACUGGGCGUAAAGCGUGCGUAGGUGGUUCGUUAAGUCUGAUGUGAAAGCCCUGGGCUCAACCUGGGAAUGGCAUUGGAAACUGGCGACCUAGAGUGCGGUAGAGGGUAGUGGAAUUCCCGGUGUAGCAGUGAAAUGCGUAGAGAUCGGGAGGAACAUCCGUGGCGAAGGCGACUACCUGGACCAGCACUGACACUGAGGCACGAAAGCGUGGGAGCAACAGGG
rnacentral:rRNA from 1 species